rnacentral:tRNA from 1 species
GGGCUUAUAGCUCAGUGGUAGAGUGUGUGCUUAGAAUGCACGAAGCCUUGGGUUCAGUCCCCAGUACCUCCA